rnacentral:lncRNA from 1 species
AGAUUAAGUCGGGAGCAUGAACGAGGCAUCUCACCGGCUAGUGGGAUGACCGGUAGGUUAUCACAGUUGCAUAUCUCGAUCAUGAACCCAUCUGGGUCAUGGAAGAAGAGUUGUUCAACGUAGAUUCCACCUUCUUCCACUAUUGCCCGUACGUAUUCCAGUUCCAUUUCCUUCAGCUUCUUCUCCACUGCUCCCAUGCUCUCACACUGAACAUUUAAUUAAUUACUUUGAUUAGUGCAUACAUCAUCACCAUUUAAAAAAAAGAUGAUGCAUGGUUGGUAGGUUGUCAUGACAUCUAUGGUUUUAUAUUAAGAAAGGAUCAAAUAUUUACUAGAAACGUAACAUGAUAUUUUGCUUUUUUUGCUUGAUCGAUCCCUUGGCAGGUACAUUCUCAUUACUAAAUUACAAAUAGGUAGGUCUGUUAGGAUUAUAUGCUCAACUCAAGAGUAUUCAAAUUGAAACAAAAUGUAUGGACGGGUUGUGGGACAAAGGAUGUAGGUUUAAGCAUACCGAACUCAAUUAAAAAUCGAGCCUGAACACAAGUUUAAUCUCGAUAUUGAGCAAAGCUUGAUAUUGAUCUUGAACUCAAUUGAAGAUCGAUUUUUAAACGUGUAAACGUGUGUAAUCGAGCCUGACAAACUCAAGCUCCAUAUUGAUCUUGAACUCGAUUGAAGAUUUAUUUCUAAUUGUGUAAUUGAGCUUGAAUAUUGACUUGAUAUUGGUUUUGAACAAUGUAUUUUUAAGUUCGAUUCUCAAACUCGAUUAUUGAAAAACUCGAGCUUAAUAUUGAACUCAAGCUAGAUAUUGAUCUUGAAUUCAAUUAAAAAUCUAUUUUUAAGAUUGUGCAUGCUCCAUUCAAGGUAUACUAAAAACAAUAACUUUUAGAAAUAAAAAAGUAAAAAAAAAAAAAAAAGUCUUUUUUGGAGUUCGCAUUAGCACCACUGUCUCGUAUCCCUACUAUAGGCUUAUUAAAAGAUUAAUAUGAUGAAGUCCUAAGAACAAUUGAAGAGAAACAGAGUAGCAAUUUAUAUGCACCCUAUAUUAAUCUGUAGAGAGCAGGAUGUUGUUUCUUCACACUUAGAUAUUGGAUUAGCCCAAGGAGGAAUAAAAUAAUAUGCUGGAAUGAAAAGAAUU